rnacentral:rRNA from 1 species
GGUUAAGUCAGGCAACGAGCGAGACCCACGCCAACAGUUGCCAGCAUGUCCUCCGGGAUGGUGGGGACACUGUUGGGACCGCCUCUGCUAAAGAGGAGGAAGGAAUGGGCAACGGUAGGUCAGCAUGCCCCGAAUUAUCCGGGCUACACGCGGGCUACAAUGGGCAGGACAAUGGGUUUCGACACCGAAAGGUGAAGGCAAUCUCUUAAACCUGCUCGUAGUUCGGAUUGCGGGUUGCAACUCGCCCGCAUGAAGCUGGAAUCUGUAGUAACCGCGUCUCAAAAUGGCGCGGUGAAUAUGUCCCUGCCCUUGCACA